AACUUUCAGCAACGGAUCUCUUGGCUCUCGCAUCGAAUGAAAGAACGCAGCGAAAUGCGAUAAGUAAUGUGAAUUGCAGAAUCAGUGAAUCAUCGAAUCUUUGAACGCACCUUGCGCUCCUUGGUAUUCCGAGGAGCAUGCCUGUUUGAGUGUCAUGG
rnacentral:rRNA from 1 species